UACAGAGGGUGCAAGCGUUAAUCGGAAUUACUGGGCGUAAAGCGUGCGUAGACGGUUACAUAAGUCGGGUGUGAAAUCUUGGAGCUUAACUCCGAAACUGCAUUCGAUACUGCCGUGCUUGAGGACUGGAGAGGAGACUGGAAUUUACGGUGUAGCGGUGAAAUGCGUAGAUAUCGUAAGGAAGACCAGUGGCGAAGGCGGGUCUCUGGACAGUUCCUGACGCUGAGGCACGAAGGCCAGGGGAGCAAACGGG
rnacentral:rRNA from 1 species